rnacentral:rRNA from 1 species
CGAACGACGCUGGCGGCGCGUCUUAAGCAUGCAAGUCGGACGGCAAGGGGAGCUUGCUCCCCCUAGAGUGGCGGACUGGUGAGUAACGCGUGGGUGACCUACCCUCGAGAUGGGGAUAGCCAUUAGAAAUAGUGGAUAAUACCGAAUACGCUCAUGACCCUGUGGGGAUAUGAGGAAAGCAGGCUACGGCCUGGCUCGAGGAUGGGCCCGCGUCCCAUUAGCUAGUUGGUGAGGUAACGGCCCACCAAGGCGACGAUGGGUAUCCGGCCUGAGAGGGUGUACGGACACAUUGGGACUGAGAUACGGCCCAAACUCCUACGGGAGGCAGCAGCUAAGAAUAUUCCGCAAUGGACGAAAGUCCGACGGAGCGACGCCGCGUGGAUGAGGAAGGCCGAAAGGUUGUAAAAUCCUUUUGCCAAUGAAGAAUAAGUGUGGUAGGGAAUGACCGCAUGAUGACAUUAGUUGGUGAAUAAGCCCCGGCUAAUUACGUG